UACGGGGGGGGUAAGCGUUGUUCGGAAUUACUGGGCGUAAAGGGCUCGUAGGCGGCCAACUAAGUCAUACGUGAAAUCCCUCAGCUUAACUGGGGAACUGCGUGUGAUACUGGAUGGCUUGGAUUUGGGAGAGGGAUGCGGAAUUCCAGGUGUAGCGGUGAAAUUCGUAGAUAUCGGGAAGAACACCUGAGGCGAAGGCGGCUGUCUGGCGGUGCAUCGACGCUGAGGCGCGAAAGCGUGGGGAGCAAACAGG
rnacentral:rRNA from 1 species